ACAACGCGGACUUCCGGAGGACGUGGUGGUGAUGGUAGUAGUGAUGGCAGAGGAGCGCUCGACACAAUCGUUAAUGAUGACGCAAACCGAUGGUAGACGGUAGACACGUUGCGUGAAGCAUUCGUAGAUUCGUAGAUCCUUCAUCAGCAUGCAUCUCUAUAUACAGGUAAAAAACGAAGUACACAUUCAUUAGCAGAUCAUCCAUGUUGAUUUCGUGGUAUCGAGUGUACAGGUACAGGAGUCCAAGCCAAUCCGGGCAAAAACAUAUCUUCGGGACUUGGUGCGAACAAACUGGCGAGUAAUGCCUGUGCUGACAUAAUGCAUCGAUCCGCAUAGCUGCUACGCACCAGCGUGGUU